CAGGACACUAGCGUAGGCUUCGUCUUCCCCACCAUCUCUUCUUAUUCCCCCAAGCUCAUCCAUGGCCACCUCCCCGCCAUCUCCCUCAGCACACGCCAAGCUCCCCUCCGAUCUGUUCAGAGCAGGGAGUAGCAGCUCCCAUUCCCCAGCAACAUCUUCCUCAUCGACGCCCCCUGCUCGGAGCCUCCCAUGGCACAAUCACCCAUGGUCGAGGUUCCCCCUGCUUGGCCUCGCUUCCGUGGGCGCUAGCAGCAGAAGCUCCCAAGCACAGAGUCGUUCUUCCCCAAGGUGCGGGCGCCAUUUCUUCCAUGGCCGAGCUCACCACCUGCUAGGACAAGCCGGACCCCUCUGCUCCUCCAUGGCUGUGAGCUCGACGUCCCCUUCUUCCUCCUCUGAUGGGCAGCUCGGCUCCCUCUGCUCCAUUCCCCCACUCGGCACCCAACUUUCUGCAGGAGCUUGCCAACGCUCUCCUCCCCCCACUCAGCACUCCAUGGUCAGAUCCUCGUCUCCCCCAUCAACGCUAGGUAUUUGAACCUGCACCCUGUCAACAUCCCCAGGGCAAAGACUCGAUGCCCCCUUCUCUGUCCCUACUCCUCCCUCUAUGGAUAUUCCCAUGGCGCAGUUCCCUAGCCGGCUUCCUGCCUCCGCAGCCGCAACAACUCCUCAGUGGCGCGUGCUCCACCUUGUUGCGUCGUGGUGCCCGUCGUGCUCCUUCGGCUUCGCUCUGCUCUCCGGUACACGUUGGCACGUUCAUCUCCACGCCAUGUGUGCAGUGAUAUCGACCGAGUUGUUUAUGGACCGAGAGAUGACGAUCGAGCAAGUGAUGUGAUGCCAACCACAAGAGGCAAUUGGUGGACGGUCUGAAGAAUAAUAGACUUAACCAGUGGAUACUUGCCAAACGAGUAUCCCUAGCAAACACUAUCUAGUGUUGAAUUCCAGGCAAGCCUCGGUUUUAUGCAUAACCGUUU